GAACGCUGGCGGCGUGCCUAAUACAUGCAAGUCGAACGGCUUUUCUAUGGAAGCUUGCUUCCACUGAGAAGAUAGUGGCGAAACGGGUGAGUAACACGUGGGUAACCUGCCCAUAAGAGGGGGGAUAACAUCCGGAAACGGGUGCUAAUACCGCAUAGUUUUCUUGAUCGCAUGAUCGGGAAAGGAAAGACGGCCUUUGUGCUGUCGCUUAUGGAUGGACCCGCGGCGUAUUAGUUAGUUGGUGAGGUAACGGCUCACCAAGACGAUGAUACGUAGCCGACCUGAGAGGGUGAUCGGCCACAUUGGGACUGAGACACGGCCCAAACUCCUACGGGAGGCAGCAGUAGGGAAUCUUCCGCAAUGGACGAAAGUCUGACGGAGCAACGCCGCGUGAGUGAAGAAGGUUUUUCCGGGAUCGUAAAACUCUGUUGUCAGAGAAGAACAAGUUGGAGAGUAACUGCUCCAGCCUUGACGGUAUCUGACCAGAAAGCCACGGCUAACUACGUGCCAGCCGCUGC
rnacentral:rRNA from 1 species